rnacentral:rRNA from 1 species
CAGUCGCCGCGGGAAUACGAAGGGGGCUAGCGUUGCUCGGAUUUACUGGGCGUAAAGGGCGCGUAGGUGGUUAUGUAAGUGAGAUGUGAAAUCCCCGGGCUCAACCUGGGAACUGCAUCUCAUACUGCGUAGCUGGAGUGCAGUAGAGGGUAGUGGAAUUUCCGGUGUAGCGGUGAAAUGCGUAGAUAUCGGAAGGAACACCAGUGGCGAAGGCGGCUACCUGGACUGACACUGACACUGAGGCGCGAAAGCGUGGGGAGCAAACAGGAUUAGAUACCCGCGUAGUCCCUGUCCUUAUACA